CUGGUGGAAGCCCGCAGC
rnacentral:snRNA from 1 species